rnacentral:misc_RNA from 1 species
UUAUUACAUCAAAAUAUAUGACUACAACAUGUAGAAAAUGCUUGGAUGAAGCUUAAAGUCAAUUAGUAGCUCUGGAACAAGGCUACAUAGAUAGCUUCCUAGUAUUUCCAAAGGAGAAAGGUGGUACCGGCACAUGAUAGGGGAAGUGCUCAUAUCCUCCACGUAAAGAUUGCAGUACCUGGUCAAGGGAAAGUUUUGAUGGAGUCUCCCUUUAGUACGUAAGAAGCACUAAAGCCCUGGUACAAAGGUGCCUAGAGGAGCUAUGACCAGGGGAAGGGCCACACUAAUAUUGAUAGUAGGUGUCGCAACAGGUGUCGUACUGGGUGCCAUAGCAGGUGCUAUACCAGGUGCUGCAACAGAUGUUGUGGUAGCACAAUACCAAAUAAGAUAGCAGGUGUUGUGUCAGGUGCGAUGAACGAUGCUUUCACAAUACAAAAUCUAGAGAUAAACGCAACAUGAACAGAGUAUCCAUUACAUCCCAAGCAUACAAAUAAACCUUAAACCACACAAAGAUACCAAAUUCAUUCUCAAAAUAGCAAAAUUCAAGGU